GACAGACCGCAUGCUGCAUUACUAAAUCGAACAACCGGUAUAGGUAGACCGCAUACUACAUUAGCACCCAAAUGCCUAAAAAAUAGUAACAUAUAAAAACUUAGAAGAAACCUUUCUAUAUUAUAUCCAUUACUCAUACACCAGAUAUAAGUAAAGGUACAGUUCUUUCCGGAAAAAUAUGUCGAGUGUCAGAGAGAAAAUACCUUCGACUGUUUACAUCUGACACAAAUUGCUAGAAAUUUAUGUCAUAGAUAAGUAUACGACAGUCCUCGAAAAGCUAUAUAUACAGAAAUGUUUAAAAUAAAUGUACGACCUGUCUACAUUUAAAUACAAAUUAUUGCGAACACUUCUGUCGUGGGUCAUCAUUUCAGACAGUUUAUUUUUGAAUAAUGAAAGCAUCUAAACGAAAAGUCGCGGCCUCUAUUAUUAUUCUAUUAAAUUCUAUGAAAAAGAAGAAAACACGUUCUGUGUGGGUUCGAGAGUGGAUUUGGAGACGUAAUAAUCUCGGUGCCCACACUCAAUUAAUGUCUGAACUCUGUAUUGAAGAUCCAGCACAGUUUUCAAAUUUUUUAAGGAUGAAACCUACUGAUUUUGAAAAGCUUGUGUGUAAAAUUGGACCCCUUAUUUCAAAACAGGGUACAAAAUUCAGGAAAGCUAUUAGUGCAACAGACAGACUUGCUUUAACUUUGCGAUUUUUAGCUUCUGGUGAUUCAUACACCAGCCUACAAUACCUAUUCAGAAUACCAAAAUGUACAAUAAGCCUCAUUGUUCCUGAAGUGUGCAGAGCAAUAAUGUGAGCAUUAAAAGAAGAUUACAUUAAGGCACCGACUACAUCAGAUGAUUGGCAAAGUGUUGCCAACAACUUUGAACAGAAAUGGCACUUCCCUAAAUGUUUGGGGGCUAUUGACGGAAAACAUGUUGUUAUCCAAGCUCCGGAGAAUAGCGGAAGUUAUUAUUUUUAUAAAGGGCAGCAUAGUAUUGUUUUAAUGGCAAUUGUUGAUGCCGCGUACAAAUUCCUUGUCAUCUCAGUUGGAGCCAAUGGGAGAGUAUCAGAUGGUGGUGUUUUUAGAGCCAGUGGAGUUGCAGAUUUCAUUGAAACUGCGUCAGCAGGAUUAGAAAAGACCCCUCCUACCAGGAAGAACAUUAUGUGUACCACAUGUUUUUGUAGCGGACGAUGCAUUCCCAUUACAACCUCAUAUUAUGAAGCCGUAUUCAUUUAAUAGUAAAGGUUCCAUGAGAAUUUUUAACUACAGACUGUCUCGAGCAAGAAGAAUAGUAGAAAACGCCUUUGGUAUUAUGUCAAGUGUAUUUAGAGUGUUAAGGAAACCGCUUCUUCUUGCCCCAGAACGUGUAGUCUGUAGUUUUAGCUGCUUGCAGUUUACAUAAUUGGCUAUUGUCUGAUAAAUAUUCUGCAAAUACCUACGCUCCUGAAGGUACCUUUGAUAGAGAAAAUUUGGAAACGGGAGAAAUGAUACAGGGAAAAUGGCGACAUGAAAAUUCGGAGGCCGCAAGUCUACAACCACUGGUGCAGCAAGGCAGU